rnacentral:rRNA from 1 species
UGGGGAAUAUUGCACAAUGGGCGCAAGCCUGAUGCAGCCAUGCCGCGUGUGUGAAGAAGGCCUUCGGGUUGUAAAGCACUUUCAGCGAGGAGGAAGGCAUAAAGGUUAAUAACCUUUGUGAUUGACGUUACUCGCAGAAGAAGCACCGGCUAACUCCGUGCCAGCAGCCGCGGUAAUACGGAGGGUGCAAGCGUUAAUCGGAAUUACUGGGCGUAAAGCGCACGCGGGCGGUUUGAUAAGUCAGAUGUGAAAUCCCCGCGCUUAACGUGGGAACUGCAUUUGAAACUGGCAAGCUAGAGUCUUGUAGAGGGGGGUAGAAUUCCAGGUGUAGCGGUGAAAUGCGUAGAGAUCUGGAGGAAUACCGGUGGCGAAGGCGGCCCCCUGGACAAAGACUGACGCUCAGGUGCGAAAGCGUGGGGAGCAAACA